GCACCGUCGUGCCCUCGAUGCACUUGCCCGCACGAGUCACCGCCUUCAUUCGUUCCUACGUCGCUCAAUCCCCUUGCAGCCGCCGCCGAUCCCCUCCCCCAUCUCCCUCCCUCAAACGCCGCCGCCCGUCGCUGCCGCCCCCGCCACCUCCAGCCGCGGCCGCCGCGCCCAGCUCCAGCCGCGGCCGUCGCGCCCACCUCCAGCCGCGGCCCCCGCCCCACCUCCAGCUCGACUCCACGAUCCCCUUCCUAUCGAUCGCCCACGCCCCCACCGCUUCGCAUCUGAUCGCCACCAGCGCCCGUGCUUUUCUGGCCGCCGGCCGCCAUGCAGUCCUCCGUGCCGGACCUUUGCGUUGCGUUCCUCCGCGCGAGGCCGCCGCCGCUGCAGCAGCUCUCUCGGAUCCAACACGAAGCUUGCGACGAAGGGCUUGGAGUUGGCCGUGAGUGCUCGAGGUGAAGUGGCGGCAUGCGUUUCUGUAGGGGGGGAGGGGCGCACAUUAGGGAAGUCAGCGGCCGGAUCCGAGCGCGGAUGAGGCCAGGUUGCCACUUGGGGCCCAUGUCGGUCAGAUCCAGGCAACACAUGGGAGUCGGCGUGGCGGCAGCGUAGUGCCGAGGCAGGAAGGAGGCACGGGACGACACAUCGGCGGGUCGUGGUGCACUGCACGAGAUGAGUGACAUGAUGUAAACAACGCUGUAGGCAUUGAUGGACAUGCGUCAUUUUCUACUGCCGAUACUGAUUCUUGAGGGCUACUGGCACUGCCGCCGGGUAUGAGCAGGAACUGCCUCCAUUGAGAACUCUGGGUACUGCCGCUGCCGACGACCAUCGAGCACCGAGUUGGAACUGCCACCAUCAAGGAUGACAGGCCGCCAUUGAGGUUGAUUGUUUUGGCGGCGCCUUCCCACUACCAGUCUGCACCAUCACUGUUGUAUUCUGAGCAGCUGGAGAACCCCUACGGUUGCAAGAUUCCUGUAACUUGUAUUUGAGAUGCAUGUCCUAAUCGUCUUGGUUGUGGUCAGGUGUGGUAUGCAGGAAUCCGUCAGAAGAAUGUGGCACAUAAUAAUAGUUUCAUCAUCUCAUCUUCAUGCUACUUCCAGUUAAGUGCUAGAAAAAUAAAUGCCCGAGACAUGUUUUAAGGAAUUCAAAGACGAGUUCCCUUUGAAGAGCAAGCAAUCAUAGUACGGAGCAAGAUGAUUCGAAAUAGAGGUUCCCAUAAUUAGAGGCAAUUGAAUCAUAUAUGAUGAUUAGCCUAAUGUGCUGCUAUAACAUUUAAAACAUUUUUUUGACCUGGGAGCAAUCAGCAAACUCUGACCUCUUUGUAAUGUUUGAUUACCAUUUAUGUAGGGCUCUGUACUGCAGGACAACAUAUUCACUAUCAAUAUAUGGUCUAUUUCCAAUAUAAGGUGUAUGUCAAGUUAUACACUGACUACAGAAAGUGAGUGUGAGUGGUAAUGUCACUCUAUCAUGGUAGACUGGAAAUUAAAGAUUGUAACUUGAUAGCAUCUGGAUAAAUGUUAAUAAAAAUUGUAGCAAAAUAAAAAGGUUAAGUCUGCUGGUUCGAAUAAGCAGUCACCUGGUUCGAACAGGUGAUGCUCGACGACGAACAUCUGCUCGAGGACACCCUGCUCGACGAUGCUCCUCUUCGCUAGCAUCUCCAUUGCAUGAUAGGGGGAGAGUUCUUGUACUCAGAGCAGCUGUUGAUCUGCAGCAACUCUAGAAGUAGGAUUUAGGAUAAUCAUAGUUUCAGUUUGCCAAGCAGGGAGUAUAAUUUAACUGGAAAUCAACCAACUAUUGCUUUGAACUGGAGUAUAAUUACCGAAGCGGGUCGAAGUGGGACGAUGUGGUUCGGUGGUCAACGGCGGCUGCGCGGGAUGCAGUAUGGUAUGGCUUGAGCAUCUCGAGGAGGGGCUCUCUCCGCAAGGCAUCCUCUACGCCACGGCGGAGGUGUUCGAGUAGUCUGUCCCGGGGCUGCGCGUGGAGCACGUCGACGUCUCCGUCUUGCCAUUGCUCAGCACCGCCCUGCCGGCUGGGGUUCUUAUUUGCCAUCGAGGCCUUCCGCAACUGGGACCAUGGUGCCUGAUAGCUUCCUCUCCGGCUGGAUCGGCAGUCUAUCCACCCAAACAAGAGGGUCCUCAUGGAGAGUAUCCACAAGUCCGAGGCUGAGAAGGGAAGAGAGAAGACCCUCUCUGACCAGUUUGAGGCUUCAGUUUGAGGCCAAGCGUGCUAAGAGCAAGGCUAGCUAGCAGGGAGAGGAAUAUUGCGAGGAGGCAGGAGAGAUUGGCUCAGGUAAGAUGACUUUCACUUGAGCCCUGUCUAUUUCCUCACAUAGUUUGAUUUGUGCUGCAUUAUAUUGGUACUGAAAUACAUAAUGCGUGCACAUGUCUUCUGUUGGAUGUUUCAGAGAUGCUUAUGCAGGGUUUCUUUAAUCAUUUUGGUUCAUGGUACCAGCUAAUGAAAUUUACGUGCUCUGAUGAUGAAUUCGUGCCAUGUCGAGUUGGAUUGGCGGUGGCGUAUUUUUCCUCUUGUAGUCAAAUUAGUGAGAUGCUUCGUUCUCUUCUUUAUGUGAACGUACAUGUAUGACCAGUGUAAUUAGGUGCAGUAGUUUUGGUCAAUGUCAAAGCAGAAGAGAGCUACAUGUAUGACCAGUAUUGAAUCACGGCGAGAGAGUAAUGUAGCUUCGUCCCUCCCUGAUGCUGCUAAUGCAAGAUGCAUAGGAAUCUUAUUCAAUAUCAAAAAUUGACAUACCGUGCAAUCAUGUCUAAUGUCUUUCAUUAAAUCUCCGCGGAGGUGCCGGCCGGCUGGUACAUAUCCCGAUCUACUUGGAUGUGCAGACCUGGGAGUUGGAACAAUUCACCAAGAGAAGCCAGUUCGUGUAUAACAGAAUGGGUGGAAUUUAUCAUGAGAUCCUACCCAAAUCCGAGUACUUCUCCAAGGCACUGUACACCUUCCAUUUCGCUCAAAACAAUCUCUCUGUAGGCUACUUCACCAAUAAGACUACCAAACAUAUUGAGGCCUAUGACCCCAAUCCGAAGGAGCGGUUCACUGUGGCAAUGCAGAUGCCCCGAGAAGAGGUAGUAGUGGUGGUGCGGGCGCGCCGUGGGCGAGGUGGGCUUCGGGUGUAGCGGCGGGUGCGGCUGCCCCAUCGAUGGCAGCGCGAUGCCCCCCGCCGUCGGGCCCACACCGCCGGACAUUGGCGGUGACCGGAGACUGUCGCGAUGAUUGUUGGUCGGUUGCGGAGCUUGCAACACGAGCUGGUAGCGCCAGCGUUGGCGAGAGAGUGAGGUGUCCCCAGUGCAGUAGGCGGGGGAAAGCUUAAGGCGACCAGUGCCCUCCGGUCCUCGUCGCUGCACGUCGAGGUCAAGUCUGAGGCUGCAAGCUGAUGCAUCCACAGACAUCAUUGUCGACUGCAUCUUCAACCUCCGGAUGCCGCUUCCGUACACUGCUUCGUCAACCUCAGCCGUGACCCUUCCUCCCGGUCGCCGUGUUUAAUAUCCUAUUCGUCGGCCGCCUAUCUCGAGCACCGCGAGCGAAGGUGGAUGCCCUGACUGCCAAUCACCAAGAAACUCCGCGGAAAGCUGCUGCAGAUAGGUGUUAUGCUGGUAUAUUCUUUCUGUAGUCUUUGUUCAGGUAAAUCAGACCAAGACUUGGAGACUAUAGAUAGCCACUCUUUUUUUACCAACCUUUGUUUUUGUUAAUAAUGAGUCUGACAAUGAAGUGACUACAUCUCCAUCUUUUCACCUUUGUUUCUACUGGGCUUCUCAAAGGUCCAUUCCUGUAAUAUUUUGGAGGACAUCUCCCAUUACAAUAUUUGGGGGUUUUCAAUUUAUGAGUAAGGCACGCGAAGCUCCCUUACAAACCCGACAAAUCGUACUUCGGAAUCAUUGCAUUUUUCUUCAUCGGCUUCGUCACAUCAAACACAAUUGCAUUGGCAAAUCAUGAAAGGUGUAAUGUUCACGGAUUUUUGUUAGAUGAUCUGUUGGUCCGGUUUAAUUUUAGCGGGCAUGAGGCAUCUGGGAAACAUGUUUCAAGGGCCUUGUUUGUCGAUCUGGAGCCCACUGUUAGUAGAUUAUGGCAGUAAAUCAUAAUAGGUCAUGUUGUUGGACGAGGGCGGGCUAGCGGAGGGCGUGUCGGCGGACGACGUGGAGGUCGUGUUCGGCUCCAUCGGCCGCAUCGCCGGCAUCGAGUUCGUGCGCACCAGCAGCCCUAGCUUCGCCUACGUCGGCUUCCACUGCCCCUCCCACAAGGUCAUGACCAAGUUCUCCACCUUGUUGUGGGUGCUGAUGGUUCCCCUGUCUUGGUUUCUUGGAAUGGCGAUUCAAGAAGGGGCAUCAUCGUGUGGAUGGACCAUAGGGCUCUUGACCAAGUCGAGUGAAUUAAUUCUCGCAGUUCACCGGUAUUGCAAUUUUAUGGGAAACUGGUGAUGAAACCCGCAGCUUAUCACACAUGAGCAGCGGAGGGAGUUAAAAUCGUGUGGUAUGAAACCAUGUGGAAGGGGUGAAGUCUUUUGGGCAGAAAGUUUGGGAGACCUUUAUGAAGAGAGCUACGCAAAAACAGGAGUUAGGCUUGCUUCCCGGGACUCUUGUUGGGACUUCCCUUAUGAUGCUUAUGCCGGGUGUCUUGGAGUCAUGGAAAGUGUGCCAAAUGCAGAGUUUAAAGUUGAAACGAUGAUACCUGAGUUUUGGCUCAAGGAAUGUGGCCAAAGUGUAACUGGCGCUUUACUUGAUUACAUUGCUCAAAACCAUAUUGCGGCUCCCUUUUCUUGCUAAUCAAGCUGCUUCUGAAAAUAAUUAUGGUGAUGUUGUCCAUAGGAUUUCUUGUGCUUCAAAUUUUGUUGAUCGAAAGCGGAGUAAGGAGCCCAUCUUUCAUGGAAUCAUCUACAACGAUGCACGACUGGAUCGAAUUGAAGAGCAAAUAUAUUUUGGCGAGGAAGGACAAAUGUUGAUUAGGUUUCAUUUUAAUUAGGCUUCAUCUUUGUUGCAGUCAGUUGAUUUCAGAAAGUAUUACAUUCAGAUUACUUGAAGAUAGACAAAAGCCUGAAUUCUUAUUAGCUGGUGGUUGAGCCAUACAAACGUUGUUCUAAUUUCUACAAGGCAAGUCGAGAUUGACUUUCAAAACUAAGGAUUAUGCAGCCAUAAUCUGACAUUAAAUUAAUUGAAUUAGAGAAUUGGAGGCUGGAGAAGUCGGUUGCACAGGGCAAAAAAGAAACAGAAUUGGCUCAUAGUCUGGGGAAAUAUGAUGGGCGAGCAGGUGUGUUGGGCACUCGUCAAUGCGAGGCGUCGCUGAUCAACAUACUAACACCCUGCUUUAGACCUGGCAUAUCCAACUAGAUGUGCAUGCUUAGCAACCUCAAAGAGUCUGUUGGAGACACAUUUGUGCAUACCGGCGAUGGCUCAUGCGUCCUUUCACUUAAUUAGAAUUUUCUUCUUAAUGAUACGACUGCUGUUAGUUAUUUUUGGAUUCGAAUUUAAUUUGUGUGGAGUUCCUUAAUGCACAAUAUGACAGAUUAACUUGUUGUUUUAGUUCAGUUCGUAGGCGUAGCUUUCUCA